AUCCUGCAUGACACACAAUGCUGACCCUAAAUGCGAACUCCUGGGUAGGCAUUCAAGAGAGGGACCAGGUCUGACAUUUCUCAGCAUCAGGACUCGGCACCUAUUCUAAAGCUUUUUUUCCCAAAGGUGUGCUGUACUAAUUCAGAGGCUUUGCUCAUAUGUUUCUAAGCAAACAUGGAAGGAACCUGGUCAGCUUGCAAAUGGACAAGGCCCUCCCCAGUCCUGAUGUGGUGAUGCAGCCUGGCUACACCCUCCAGGCUCAUCAGGAAUGACAGCUUUGCCCUGUGGGAGUUCUGCGGGUGCUUAAGGACCAGGACACAAAGCUGCAAGUGCCCAGCGACAGUCAUCUUCGCCUAUGCAUGUGGCGUGAUGAGGAAUCAGAGGACGUUUUAUAAGACGGGAAGAAGGCAAUUUGGCUUCAUGUGACACCUUUCAUGCUCAAAGAAUCCCAACAGCGAAAUACUCAUGAAGAAUAAAAUGCUUACACUUUGUAAGUGAGAGAGUGGAGUUGCGGCAAUGAGGCUGGAAAUGGAAAAGAGCUCAAACCAAGCACGAGUUGGAACCAAACUUUAGCUAGGUCUCCAGGCAAUUGAGAUCCCAGCAUGCGGCGGCAAUUGAGACGAGGAGGAUCUUUUCAGAUGUCUUAAGUGGCCGAAGUGAAGCCCCUCCAGAGCUGCUGUGGUUGACGAUCACCCUGCCGCCAGCUGCUUCCUUCAGGUGAGAGGUUACUGGAAAAGUCAACAACAGCAGUGGAGGAGGAAGUUUAUCUUCUAUUUCAAAAUGAGGAAGACAGGGCACAUCUGACGAUAAGACUCUCGGAUCUCCUGCUGAUGGGUUUUAGUGAUACUUGGAAAGACGCUUACUGCUAUGCUCAAGUCUCCAGGAAAAUGAUUCCCAAUUCUGAGAGGAUGCGUGUACACAUGAGAAACGAGGUUGAGGUUGACUUUCAUGACAGUGCAAAAGGGUUAUCAAUACUAAUAAAAUGUGUGAACAGGAGGAAGUCCAAACUGAGAUACCACUUUUGGUGACACAGUGUCUUAGGU
rnacentral:lncRNA from 1 species